AGCGAACGCUGGCGGCAGGCUUAACACAUGCAAGUCGAACGCCCCUUCGGGGGAGUGGCAGACGGGUUAGUAACGCGUGGGAACGUGCCCUUUGGUUCGGAAUAUUCUCGGGAAACUGAGAGCAAUACCGGAUAAGCCCUACGGGGGAAAGAUUUAUCGCCAAAGGAGCGGCCCGCGUCAGAUUAGCUAGUUGGUAGGGUAAUGGCCUACCAAGGCUACGAUCUGUAGCUGGUCUGAGAGGAUGAUCAGCAACACUGGGACUGAGACACGGCCCAGACUCCUACGGGAGGCAGCAGUGGGGAAUGUUGGACAAUGGGCGAAAGCCUGAUCCAGCCAUGCCGCGUGGAUGAUGAAGGCCUUAGGGUUGUAAAAUCCUUUCACCGGAGAUGAUAAUGACAGUAUCCGGAGAAGAAGCACCGGCUAACUUCGUGCCAGCCGCCGCGGUAA
rnacentral:rRNA from 1 species